rnacentral:hammerhead_ribozyme from 1 species
UUGCGAAACCGGGCUGCGGCCCGGUCAUCCAGGCGUGGCGGCCUGGGUCUGAUGAUGCAGCCAAAA